UACGAAGGGGGCUAGCGUUGUUCGGAAUUACUGGGCGUAAAGCGCGCGCAGGCGGUUCUACAAGUCAGUGGUGAAAGCCCGGAGCUCAACUCCGGAACUGCCAUUGAAACUGCAGAACUUGAGGAUGAGAGAGGUGAGUGGAAUUCCCAGUGUAGAGGUGAAAUUCGUAGAUAUUGGGAAGAACACCGGUGGCGAAGGCGGCUCACUGGCUCAUUUCUGACGCUCAGGCGCGACAGCGUGGGGAUCAAACAGG
rnacentral:rRNA from 1 species